AUACGAAGGGGGCUAGCGUUUGCUCGGAAUGACUGGGCGUAAAGGGUCGUGUAGGCGGUUUACACAGUCAGAUGUGAAAUCCCCGGGCUUAACCUGGGAGCUGCAUUUGAUACGUGUAGACUAGAGUGUGAGAGAGGGUUGUGGAAUUCCCAGUGUAGAGGUGAAAUUCGUAGAUAUUGGGAAGAACACCGGUGGCGAAGGCGGCAACCUGGCUCAUGACCGACGCUGAGGCGCGAAAGCGUGGGGAGC
rnacentral:rRNA from 1 species